CGGCUGGCGUGGGGGACGCGACGAGGGGUGUGAACUAGGGACGGCCGGGGCCGGGGGGCUGGAAGGAAGCUGGCUCUGAUCAGAGCGCCCGACAGCCUGGGUGCCCCGCAGCCCGCAGCAGCCCUGCGCUGGGGCAGGAAGCCAAGGGCAGGACGCGCGGGCCUUCCGCGGGUCCCGAGCCUCGAGUGAGCGGGGAACACGGGGCUCGGGAGCGCCCCCUUCCGCCCGCCAGGCUCAGUCCGCGGGGCCCUCCCCACGGACGGCCGCCUCCCUGCGCGCCCCGCAGCGCCGCCCUCCCGCCCCGCAGUCCCGCCAAGGCUCUCGCAGCGGCUCUGGGUGCGGCGCGUCUGGGGGUGGCUGGACCCCGCGCAGCCGCCGCCCGGGAGAGACGGUGCCCAGGGAGGCCUCGCAGUGGCCCCAGCGGACCCCGAGGAGCCGCCCCGCAGAGAACAUUGCCCAUGAAACGAUGAGAUCUGGGGGUUGUUGCGCCAGGAGGCAGCCGCUUAAAACCACAGUCCUAACGGCAAAGGAAGCGUUAACAGGCUGAAACUCUAAGACAAAAUCAUGAUAAACUUUGGCGAGUUGGGUGUAGCCAUUCAGGAACCAGUUCCUGCAAGAAUUCCUACCUGGUUCGACCUUUGUAAUAGAAAGCAGGGGCACUGAGGACCGCCUCGCAGUCCUUACAGCUCAAAGGAAAAGCCCAAGACGGCAGUCACCUUCUCUCUGCUUUUGACCUAGUGAAUGAACCAGUGCAUGUCUCUUUUU